GGAUGGGCAUGCGUGACAUUAGCUUGUUGGCGGGGUAACGGCCCACCAAGGCGACGAUGUCUAGGGGUUCUGAGAGGAAGGUCCCCCACACUGGUACUGAGACACGGACCAGACUCCUACGGGAGGCAGCAGUGAGGAAUAUUGGUCAAUGGGCGAGAGCCUGAACCAGCCAAGUCGCGUGAAGGAUGACGGCCCUACGGGUUGUAAACUUCUUUUGUCAGGGAGCAAUUGGGUCCACGCGUGGGCUUAGCGAGAGUACCUGAAGAAAAAGCAUCGGCUAACUCCGUGCCAGCAGCCGCGGUAAUACGGAGGAUGCGAGCGUUAUCCGGAUUUAUUGGGUUUAAAGGGUGCGUAGGCGGAAUAUCAAGUCAGCGGUAAAAAUUCGGGGCUCAACCCCGUCGUGCCGUUGAAACUGAUGUUCUUGAGUGGGCGAGAAGUAUGCGGAAUGCGUGGUGUAGCGGUGAAAUGCAUAGAUAUCACGCAGAACUCCGAUUGCGAAGGCAGCAUACCGGCGCCCAACUGACGCUGAAGCACGAAAGCGUGGGUAUCGAACAGGAUUAGAUACCCUGGUAGUCCACGCAGUAAACGAUGAAUGCUAAUUGUCCGGAGGGAUUGACCUCUGGGUGAU
rnacentral:rRNA from 1 species